rnacentral:rRNA from 1 species
GUUGUUGGGUAGGGGAGCGUUCUGUAAGCCUGUGAAGGUGGCCUGUGAGGGUUGCUGGAGGUAUCAGAAGUGCGAAUGCUGACAUAAGUAACGAUAAAGCGGGUGAAAAGCCCGCUCGCCGGAAGACCAAGGGUUCCUGUCCAACGUUAAUCGGGGCAGGGUGAGUCGACCCCUAAGGCGAGGCCGAAAGGCGUAGUCGAUGGGAAACGGGUUAAUAUUCCCGUACUUGGUGUUACUGCGAAGGGGGGACGGAGAAGGCUAUGUUGGCCGGGCGACGGUUGUCCCGGUUUAAGCGUGUAGGUGUGUGUUCCAGGUAAAUCCGGUUCACUUUAACA